rnacentral:rRNA from 1 species
GAGGCGUGAUGACGAGGCACUACGGUGCUGAAGCAACAAAUGCCCUGCUUCCAGGAAAAGCCUCUAAGCAUCAGGUAACAUCAAAUCGUACCCCAAACCGACACAGGUGGUCAGGUAGAGAAUACCAAGGCGCUUGAGAGAACUCGGGUGAAGGAACUAGGCAAAAUGGUGCCGUAACUUCGGGAGAAGGCACGCUGACACGUAGGUGAAGUGAUUUACUCAUGGAGCUGAAGUCAGUCGAAGAUACCAGCUGGCUGCAACUGUUUAUUAAAAACACAGCACUGUGCAAACACGAAAGUGGACGUAUACGGUGUGACGCCUGCCCGGUGCCGGAAGGUUAAUUGAUGGGGUCAGCGCAAGCGAAGCUCCUGAUCGAAGCCCCGGUAAACGGCGGCCGUAACUAUAACGGUCCUAAGGUAGCGAAAUUCCUUGUCGGGUAAGUUCCGACCUGCACGAAUGGCGUAAUGAUGGCCAGGCUGUCUCCACCCGAGACUCAGUGAAAUUGAACUCGCUGUGAAGAUGCAGUGUACCCGCGGCAAGACGGAAAGACCCCGUGAACCUUUACUAUAGCUUGACACUGAACAUUGAGCCUUGAUGUGUAGGAUAGGUGGGAGGCUUUGAAGUGUGGACGCCAGUCUGCAUGGAGCCGACCUUGAAAUACCACCCUUUAAUGUUUGAUGUUCUAACGUGGACCCGUUACCCGGGUUGCGGACAGUGUCUGGUGGGUAGUUUGACUGGGGCGGUCUCCUCCUAAAGAGUAACGGAGGAGCACGAAGGUUGGCUAAUCCUGGUCGGACAUCAGGAGGUUAGUGCAAUGGCAUAAGCCAGCUUGACUGCGAGCGUGACGGCGCGAGCAGGUGCGAAAGCAGGUCAUAGUGAUCCGGUGGUUCUGAAUGGAAGGGCCAUCGCUCAACGGAUAAAAGGUACUCCGGGGAUAACAGGCUGAUACCGCCCAAGAGUUCAUAUCGACGGCGGUGUUUGGCACCUCGAUGUCGGCUCAUCACAUCCUGGGGCUGAAGUAGGUCCCAAGGGUAUGGCUGUUCGCCAUUUAAAGUGGUACGCGAGCUGGGUUUAGAACGUCGUGAGACAGUUCGGUCCCUAUCUGCCGUGGGCGCUGGAGAACUGAGGGGGGCUGCUCCUAGUACGAGAGGACCGGAGUGGACGCAUCACUGGUGUUCGGGUUGUCAUGCCAAUGGCACUGCCCGGUAGCUAAAUGCGGAAGAGAUAAGUGCUGAAAGCAUCUAAGCACGAAACUUGCCCCGAGAUGAGUUCUCCCUGAGACUUAGAGUCUCCUGAAGGAACGUUGAAGACGACGACGUUGAUAGGCCGGGUGUGUAAGCGCAGCGAUGCGUUGAGCUAACCGGUACUAAUGAACCGUGAGGCUUAACCUUACAACGCCGAAG